rnacentral:rRNA from 1 species
CUGCCGGCGACCGGCGCACGGGUGAGUAACACGUAUGGAACCUGCCCGCAGCAGGGGGAUAAGCGGAAGAAAUUCCGUCUAAUACCGCGUAACAACGUUAGGAGGCAUCUCCCGAUGUUUAAAGAUUUAUCGGCUGCGGAUGGCCAUGCGGCGCAUUAGCUAGUCGGCGGGGUAACGGCCCACCGAGGCGACGAUGCGUAGGGGUUCUGAGAGGAAGGUCCCCCACACUGGUACUGAGACACGGACCAGACUCCUACGGAAGGCAGCAG